CAUAAUGCAUUUUCUUUCACUCGAUAAACAUCAUUGGUUCCUAGAUUUCUGGCUGGACUCUGAAAUUUAUUGUACAUGACAUAUGUUCGGAAGAAAUGAAAGUAAACUGCAUGAAAUGGAUUCACCAUAAUCUGACAGCGUCCAUGACAUACAAUAUGAACUGUGAAACUCCCUUCAGUGACACUAUGACGUACAUUAUUUACGCCUGCAAGUUGCCACUGGAUCAAAAGCGUCUCCAAGUAUUUGAAACAAGAACUUCAGCCUCUAUGCAAACUAGGAACCGAUGGAUAGUUAUGAGCAAAAAUAUGGAGCAAAGAUUGAAGAAUUGAUGGAAGAAGCAGCUGCUGGUUCCUGCUUGCCUGUAAUUUACUCAUCCUUGAAAAACAGAGCAUGGUCAGUAAAGCAAUUUGAAAAAAAAGGAGUUUUGUUUCAAGGAGAUUAACAAUAUGCACUCACCCUUUUUUUGCUGCUAGCACAUUUGGA
rnacentral:lncRNA from 1 species